GGAAAGGCGCGCGAUACAGGGUGACAGCCCCGUACACAAAAAUGCACAUGCUGUGAGCUCGAUGAGUAGGGCGGGACACGUGGUAUCCUGUCUGAAUAUGGGGGGACCAUCCUCCAAGGCUAAAUACUCCUGACUGACCGAUAGUGAACCAGUACCGUGAGGGAAAGGCGAAAAGAACCCCGGCGAGGGGAGUGAAAAAGAACCUGAAACCGUGUACGUACAAGCAGUGGGAGCACGCUUAGGCGUGUGACUGCGUACCUUUUGUAUAAUGGGUCAGCGACUUAUAUUCUGUAGCAAGGUUAACCGAAUAGGGGAGCCGAAGGGAAACCGAGUCUUAACUGGGCGUUAAGUUGCAGGGUAUAGACCCGAAACCCGGUGAUCUAGCCAUGGGCAGGUUGAAGGUUGGGUAACACUAACUGGAGGACCGAACCGACUAAUGUUGAAAAAUUAGCGGAUGACUUGUGGCUGGGGGUGAAAGGCCAAUCAAACCGGGAGAUAGCUGGUUCUCCCCGAAAGCUAUUUAGGUAGCGCCUCGUGAAUUCAUCUCCGGGGGUAGAGCACUGUUUCGGCAAGGGGGUCAUCCCGACUUACCAACCCGAUGCAAACUGCGAAUACCGGAGAAUGUUAUCACGGGAGACACACGGCGGGUGCUAACGUCCGUCGUGAAGAGGGAAACAACCCAGACCGCCAGCUAAGGUCCCAAAGUCAUGGUUAAGUGGGAAACGAUG
rnacentral:rRNA from 1 species